rnacentral:snoRNA from 1 species
ACUACAUUUUGGCUGUGCCCGUAAUGCACUUGGCCAUCUUGAGCAAAUACUCAGAGAAUUUCCAGUGUGAUUCAUGAGUGAUUGAUGUCUCUGUGUGACUAGGGCUUGCAACAUCCUAAUGCUCCUAUCUGAU